GUACUGCUGACGAGUCUCACAAUAGAACGAAAUGGCCGUCCAGUGC
rnacentral:hammerhead_ribozyme from 1 species